UACGGGGGGGGCAAGCGUUGUUCGGAAUUACUGGGCGUAAAGGGUUCGUAGGUGGCCAACUCAGUCAGACGUGAAAUCCCUCAGCUCAACUGGGGAACUGCGUCUGAUACUAGAUGGCUCGAGUGCAGGAGAGGAACGCGGAAUUCCAGGUGUAGCGGUGAAAUGCGUAGAUAUCGGGAGGAACACCAGAGGCGAAGGCGGCCUGGCUGGGCUGCACCUGACGCUGAGCCGCGAAAGCCAGGGGAGCGAACGGG
rnacentral:rRNA from 1 species